rnacentral:lncRNA from 10 species
CAGCAAUUUGGGAGGCCGAGGCCAGCCGAUCAUCUGAGGUCGGAAGUUGGAGACCAGCUUGACAUCUGUAUAUACCUGGGAAACCAUGACCACAACCAACAUAGUGAACACAUCCAUCGCCCCCAAAAGUUCCUCGUACCCCAUUGGGGUGUUUCCCUCCUGCCACCCCCUCCCCAGGCAGCAGCCCUUCUGCUUUUUGGUAAUGAUUGCCUGGUGCUUCUCACCAUAUGGCUGCCUUGUAAUUAUUUGAGCAUUCCUCUACUGUUAGACAUCCAUGUUUAUCCCAUUUUUGCUACUUCGGCUAGGAAGAGCAUUCUCAUACAUACAGAUAUCUUCAUAUACUUGACUAUUUCCUUACAA